GAUGAAGAACGCAGCGAAAUGCGAUACUUGGUGUGAAUUGCAGAAUCCCGUGAACCAUCGAGUCUUUGAACGCAAGUUGCGCCCGAACCCAUUAGGCCGAGGGCACGCCUGCCUGGGCGUCACACGUCGUUGCCCCCCCCAUCUACUCCUUCGGGAUUGCGGGGGGCGGAUGAUGGCCUCCCGUGCGCCUCGCCGCGCGGUUGGCAUAAAUGCCAAGUCCUCGGCGACGCACGCCACGACAAUCGGUGGUUGCGAAACCUCGGUUGCCCGUCGUGUGCGGUCGUCGCGCAUCGAGGGCUCGAAAAAAUGCUCGGCUCCGGCUCGGCUUUCAACGCGACCCCAGGUCAGGCGGGGUUACCCGCUGAAUUUAAGCAUAUCAAUAAGCGGAGGA
rnacentral:misc_RNA from 1 species